rnacentral:lncRNA from 1 species
AAGGGUUGUUUAUCCUGCGUUUCUCUCGACUUUACCCUGGCCUAGAUGACACCCGUGAAUGGGGAGGGAAUGAUCAUUUACAGGUACCGUUGGUGACUUGUUGGUGACUUGAUCUGUUGGUGACUCUUGGUCCUGUUGGUGACUUGGUUCUACAAAAUGGGUUUCAGAUGACUUUGGGUCUCAGAUGACUGUGUGGUUCUGAAUUCAAGCCGAAGCUUUGAACCUGUGCUCCGUGAAACACAGCCAACCAGUCGUGUCUGCA